rnacentral:rRNA from 1 species
UGCAGUCGACGGAAGGNCCUUCGGGGUGCUCGAGUGGCGAACGGGUGAGUAACACGUGGGUGAUCUGCCCUGCACUUUGGGAUAAGCCUGGGAAACUGGGUCUAAUACCGAAUAGGACUCCGGACUGCAUGGUCUGGGGUGGAAAGCUUUUGCGGUGUGGGAUGGGCCCGCGGCCUAUCAGCUUGUUGGUGGGGUGAUGGCCUACCAAGGCGACGACGGGUAGCCGGCCUGAGAGGGUGACCGGCCACACUGGGACUGAGAUACGGCCCAGACUCCUACGGGAGGCAGCAGUGGGGAAUAUUGCACAAUGGGCGCAAGCCUGAUGCAGCGACGCCGCGUGAGGGAUGACGGCCUUCGGGUUGUAAACCUCUUUCAGCACAGACGAAGCGCAAGUGACGGUAUGUGCAGAAGAAGGACCGGCCAACUACGUGCCAGCAGCCGCGGUAAUACGUAGGGUCCGAGCGUUGUCCGGAAUUACUGGGCGUAAAGAGCUCGUAGGUGGUUUGUCGCGUUGUUCGUGAAAACUCACAGCUUAACUGUGGGCGUGCGGGCGAUACGGGCAGACUGGAGUACUGCAGGGGAGACUGGAAUUCCUGGUGUAGCGGUGGAAUGCGCAGAUAUCAGGAGGAACACCGGUGGCGAAGGCGGGUCUCUGGGCAGUAACUGACGCUGAGGAGCGAAAGCGUGGGGAGCGAACAGGAUUAGAUACCCUGGUAGUCCACGCCGUAAACGGUGGGUACUAGGUGUGGGUUUCCUUCCUUGGGAUCCGUGCCGUANCUAACGCAUUAAGUACCCCGCCUGGGGAGUACGGCCGCAAGGCUAAAACUCAAAGGAAUUGACGGGGGCCCGCACAAGCGGCGGANCAUGUGGAUUAAUUCGAUGCNACGCGAANAACCUUACCUGGGUUUGACAUGCACAGGACGCCAGUAGAGAUAUUGGUUCCCUUGUGNCCUGUGUGCANGUGGUGCAUGGNUGUCGUCAGCUCGUGUCGUGAGAUGUUGGGUUAAGUCCCGCAACGANCGCAACCCNUGUCUCAUGUUGCCA